CCUUUGUACACACCGCCCGUCGCUACUACCGAUUGAAUGUUUUAGUGAGGCUUUCGGACUGGCCCAGAGAGGUCGGCAACGACCACUCAGGGCCGGAAAGUUAUCCAAACUCGGUCAUUUAGAGG
rnacentral:rRNA from 1 species